UGUUAAUUUUAGUGUAGAUAUUAAAAUACCAUUUAAGAGUAAUACUAUUGAUAUUAUUGAAAAUAAAGAAUUUAUUGAAACACCUAAAGUAACAAUCAAUGAAGUAGUAAAUCAAAACGAAGCUCAGUCUUCCAAUACAAAUGUUACCCUUUCUGUUAAUAACUCUACUGUCAUUGUUAAUAAUACUACUACUGCUUCUGUUGUUGCAACUACCGCAACUAGUACCAUCGAUAAUAUUACCGAUAAUACUACAGCUACUACUACUACUACUACUACUACUUCUACUAGUACCAUCAAUAAUACAGCUACUAAUACUACUACUACCGAUACUACAAAUAUCAACAACAGAAAUAAUGACAGAAACGAAAAUAACACUAAUGUGCGUGGAAACAAUAGUGCUGUAGGUCAUAUAAUUACGAGACGCGUACGAACGACACCUAUUGCUUCUUCAUAUACUGUUGAUAAUACUGAAUCUGUAUCAAAUUGUCCAAAUAAUUUGGAUAUUUUAAAUAAUAACAACUGCGAUAAUUUGAAUGAUGAUAAUAACAAUACUAAUGUACCAAAUAUAAAUGAAUUAGAUUCUUCCAUAUUUCACGAAGUCAUGGAGAAUAAUCAAUCUUCUGUAUACGAUAAUCAAAACAAUACACCCACUAGCUCAUUAAAUGUAUAUAUAGACCCAUCGGAUGUACCUACUAUUGAACAUAACAUUGAUUCAGGCAAUGAUGAUAACUAUGACGAAAUUGUAAUGAUAGAUACUUCAAUUAAUUCACAGAAUGUUGUUUAUGAUCAUAUUGACAACGAAGUAGACGAAGAUAAUUACUUGGACGCACGUAACGAUGAUGACGAUGAAGAGGAGGACGAGGAAGAAGAUGAAGACAAUUUAGAGGAAUAUUAUAAUGAGGAUGAUGAGGAUGAAAAUAAUAACAAUAGUAGUAGUAGUAGUAGUAAUAACAAUACUAACAGUAAUAAUGAUAAUAAUAAUAAUAACGAUAAUUAUAACGAUAACUAUAGUAACGACAGUAAUAAUAACAACAGCAGCGAAGAUCAUAACGACAGUAGUAACAAUAAUGAUGA
rnacentral:lncRNA from 1 species